GCAGGCCUACCAUGGUGGUAACGGGNAUNGGGGUGUUAGGGCACGACACCGGAGAGGGAGCCUGAGAAACGGCUACCACAUCCAAGGAUGGCAGCCGGCGCGCAAAUUACCCAAUCCCGACACGGGGAGGUAGUGACAAUAAAUAACAAUACGGGGUUCUUUCGGAUUUCGUAAUUGGAAUGAGUACAAUUUAGAUCUCUUAACGAGGAACAAUUGGAGGGCAAGUCUGGUGCCAGCAGCCGCGGUAAUUCCAGCUCCAAUAGCGUAUAUUAAAGUUGUUGCAGUUAAAAAGCUCGUAGUUGAAUUUCGGGAUCGACGGGUCGGUCGCGCCUCUGGUGUGUACUGGCCCUGUCGGUUUCUCCCUUCUGACGAACCACGGUGCCAUUAAUUUGGUGUCGUGGGGAAUCAGGACUGUUACUUUGAAAAAAUUAGAGUGUUUAAAGCAGGCAUUCGCUUGAAUACAUUAGCAUGGAAUAAUGAAAUAGGACGUUUGAUCUUAUUUUGUUGGUUUCUAAGAUCGACGUAAUGAUUAAUAGGGAUAGUUGGGGGCAUUAGUAUUCAAUUGUCAGAGGUGAAAUUCUUGGAUUUAUUGAAGACUAACUACUGCGAAAGCAUUUGCCAAGGAUGUUUUCAUUAAUCAAGAACGACAGUUAGGGGAUCGAAGACGAUCAGAUACCGUCGUAGUCUUAACCAUAAACUAUGCCGACUAGGGAUCGGGAUGAUGUUAAUUUUUUAAUGACUCAUUCGGCGCCUUACGGGAAACCAAANGUGUUUGGGGUUC
rnacentral:rRNA from 1 species